UUCUCAACACUCCCCAUCACCAACUUAUUUAUGGCACAAAAGGCAAGCUCAAAUUGCACUACAUGGAAUAUUAUAUUGGUUGUAUACAUAUAUGUUCAUAGUUUCCUCUCUCUUUUUUUCUAUCAUUUCUCUGCAAGUUUUAUUGAUAAGAAUGCAGUUCUGCUGCAUGGUGAUGAGGAUCGACAUUGACUGCAAUGGCUGCUACAGGAAAGUUAGGAGAGCUCUUCUUGACAUGCAAGAGUUGGAGACUCAUUUGAUAGAGAGGAAGAGAUCCAGAGUGAGUGUGUGUGGCGAGUUCAUCCCACAAGAUGUGGCCAUCAAAAUAAGGAAGAAGACUAACAGAAGAGUUGAGAUAUUGGAGAUUCAAGAAUUCAGCACCACCAACAAGUAUGAAAAUCACCAAGAGCAUAGCCAGCAGAGACCCCUGAUCACUUACAUAACAUGAAAAAUAAAAGAAAGCUGGGUUCUCUCGAUUAACCUUGAUCGUCUACAGCUUCCGAAUGGCUGAUUCAAUUGCAGGCACUCUUGUAGGUUCCAUCUCUAUUUCAUUUGUUAGAAUAUGCCAUAAAAACCAAUCGCUUUAAUUGAUUUUAAGGUUGUAUAUCUUGCAUGUACAUUAUUAAUAAAAGAAGAAUUAUGUCAUACUUCACA